rnacentral:rRNA from 1 species
UACGGAGGGGGCGAGUGUUGUUCGGAAUUACUGGGCGUAAAGCGUGCGCAGGCGGUUUUGUAAGCCAGAUGUGAAAGCCCCGGGCUCAACCUGGGAAUGGCAUUUGGGACUGCAAGGCUUGAGUGCGGCAGAGGAGACUGGAAUUCCUGGUGUAGCAGUGAAAUGCGUAGAUAUCAGGAGGAAUACCGAUGGCGAAGGCAGGUCUCUGGGCUGACACUGACGCUCAUGCACGAAAGCGUGGGGAGCAAACAGG